rnacentral:tRNA from 1 species
AAAAGAAGUUAAAAAACUUCUAAAAAAGGGCUAUUAGCUCAGUUGGUUAGAGCGCACCCCUGAUAAGGGUGAGG